CUGAGAGGGAUGUGGGAAGCCUGUGAAGCCUGCACAAGAGUGGGAUAAUGGAGGGUGAACACCAUUCUCUCAGGAAAGGAUCUGUCAACAGUGUGGACCCUUCAACCUUCACUAAGGUGUACCAUUAAAUCAGAAGUGUAAAAAAGAAGGUAAGAAGGAAAAUUGACGGAGAGACAACUUCAAGGAUUACAUCUGUGGCUCCUGAGCAUUAGGUAAUGGAUACAUCCAAAUUAUAACACUUACUAACUGAAGUCCAAG